UGAAAGUAAGAGGUUGCUAAUGAAAAGAAAAUGAGGGAAAAGCAUUUUGGUUUGGUUUUUGCGUAGCGAAACUGUAAUCAGAGGAUGGAAGAAAGGCAACGAAAA